rnacentral:rRNA from 1 species
ACUGCUCAGUAACACGUGGAUAACCUGCCCUAAGGAAGGGGAUAACCUCGGGAAACUGAGGAUAAUACCCUAUAGGUUACAGACGCUGGAAUGCCCUGUAACCGAAAGUUCCGGCGCCUUAGGAUGGAUCUGCGGCCGAUUAGGUUGUUGUUGGGGUAACGGCCCAACAAGCCGAUAAUCGGUACGGGUUGUGGGAGCAAGAGCCCGGAGUUGGAUUCUGAGACAUGAAUCCAGGCCCUACGGGGCGCAGCAGGCGCGAAAACUUUACAAUGCGGGAAACCGUGAUAAGGGAACCCCGAGUGCCUGUAUAUGCAGGCUGUCCAGGUGUCUAAAAAACACCUGAAGAAAGGGCCGGGCAAGACCGGUGCCAGCCGCCGCGGUAAUACCGGCGGCUCGAGUGGUGGCCACUUUUAUUGGGCUUAAAGCGUUCGUAGCUGGGUUGUUAAGUCUCUUGGGAAAUCUGACGGCUCAACCGUCAGGCGUCCAAGGGAUACUGGCAAUCUUGGAACCGGGAGAGGUGAGGGGUACUUCGGGGGUAGGAGUGAAAUCCUGUAAUCCUCGAGGGACCACCUGUGGCGAAGGCGCCUCACCAGAACGGCUUCGACAGUGAGGGACGAAAGCUGGGGGAACAAACCGGAUUAGAUACCCGGGUAGUCCCAGCCGUAAACGAUGCGCGUUAGGUGUAUCGGUGACCACGAGUCACCGAGGUGCCGAAGGGAAACCGUGAAACGUGCCGCCUGGGAAGUACGGUCGCAAGGCUGAACUUAAAGGAAUUGGCGGGGGAGCAC